GAUGAACGCUGGCGGCGUGCCUAAUACAUGCCAGUCGAGCGAACAGACGAGGAGCUUGCUCCUCUGACGUUAGCGGCGGACGGGUGAGUAACACGUGGAUAACCUACCUAUAAGACUGGGAUAACUUCGGGAAACCGGAGCUAAUACCGGAUAAUAUAUUGAACCGCAGGGUUCAAUAGUGAAAGACGGUUUUGCUGUCACUUAUAGAUGGAUCCGCGCCGCAUUAGCUAGUUGGUAAGGUAACGGCUUACCAAGGCAACGAUGCGUAGCCGACCUGAGAGGGUGAUCGGCCACACUGGAACUGAGACACGGUCCAGACUCCUACGGGAGGCAGCAGUAGGGAAUCUUCCGCAAUGGGCGAAAGCCUGACGGAGCAACGCCGCGUGAGUGAUGAAGGUCUUCGGAUCGUAAAACUCUGUUAUUAGGGAAGAACAAAUGUGUAAGUAACUAUGCACGUCUUGACGGUACCUAAUCAGAAAGCCACGGCUAACUACGUG
rnacentral:rRNA from 1 species